AAUAGUUUCUUUGGUGGUGACCUACUACAUGGAUAACCGUAGUAAUUCUAGAGCUAAUACAUGCGUAAAUCUCGACUCACGAAGAGACGUAUUUAUUGGAUAAAGACCGACCUCGUUUUGCGGUGAAUCAUAAUAACUUCACGGACCGCAUGGCUUUAUGCCGGCGGUGUUCCAUUCAAAUUUCUGCCCUAUCAACUUUCGACGGUAGGAUAGAGGCCUACCGUGGUGUUCACGGGUGACGGAGAAUUAGGGUUCGAUUCCGGAGAGGGAGCCUGAGAAACGGUUACCACA
rnacentral:rRNA from 1 species